rnacentral:rRNA from 1 species
UUUUUAUCACAAAUGUAUGACAAUGAAUGUUAUGUUGGGCAUUUAUUGCCUUUAAAAACCUAAUACAACUUUCAACAACGGAUCUCUUGGCUCUCGCAUCGAUGAAGAACGCAGCGAAAUGCGAUAAGUAAUGUGAAUUGCAGAAUUCAGUGAAUCAUCGAAUCUUUGAACGCACCUUGCGCUCCUUGGUAUUCCGAGGAGCAUGCCUGUUUGAGUAUCAUGAAAUUCUCAACCUUGCUUUUGCAUCUGUGAAAUCAGGGUUGGAUUGUGGGAGACUUUUUUGCAGGCUUCAAAUCGAAGUCUGCUCUCCUGAAAUAUAUUAGCAGAGUUGCAUGAACAGCUUUUUAUUGGUGUGAUAAUCAUCUAUGCCAUGGGCUGUGAAAGCGAGUUUGCCUUCCAAUUUUAACAUCCGUUAUUCAUGACUUUUUGAUCUCAAAUCAGGUAGGACUACCCGCUGAACUUAAGCAUAUCAAUAA